rnacentral:rRNA from 1 species
GACAGAGGGUGCAAGCGUUAUCCGGAAUGAUUGGGCGUAAAGCGUCUGUAGGUGGCUUUUCAAGUCCGCCGUCAAAUCCCAGGGCUCAACCCUGGAUCGGCGGUGGAAACUGCCAAGCUGGAGUACGGUAGGGGCAGAGGGAAUUUCCGGUGGAGCGGUGAAAUGCAUUGAGAUCGGAAAGAACACCAACGGCGAAAGCACUCUGCUGGGCCGACACUGACACUGAGAGACGAAAGCUAGGGGAGCAAAUGGG